AUUAUGAUGCGUGGUCUGAUCAAUUCGAUUUGGAAAGCAAUGAUACAGAUUUUGAGACAUCUUUAGAGCACGCCGAAUUGGCGUUGCAGUAUUUUUUUUAAAACCAAUUCGACGAAGCACGAAAUAUUUUGCAACCAUUAGCCGACAUAAGCUUACAUCAUUCUUUAAGAUGUGCAGUAUUUUCUUCUUUUUAGGCUGUGCUAUCCUUCGAAAAUGUAGACGCUGCGUCGGCGAAAAUAAAAAAAAUAUAUAGACCUUUGUAAAUUAUUCCGAAAAAAGAAUACUAUAACGGAAUUCAUAGCCUGCACUUUCAAGAAGGUAUUUAUCCAGCGGAAAACACAAUGUUUCAUUUCCUAAGGCUUCUUCAGAAAAACUAUUCCCAGCUUACAGACCAGGAAUGCCAUGCUGAGCUAUGUUUAGCAGAGGCUCUAUUGAUGAACGCUCUCUUAAUAUUCAUAAUCUGAUAAUCUGAUAAUCUUGGUGGUGUGAUACGCUGUAGCCUCAAAGUACGGCAAUGCUAUGGUGCUUUCAGAGCAUGUGAGCAAAUAAUGAAGUCUCGUGUGUGGAUCUUGGACGCGGACAAGGACUCCGCGACGUCUAAAACUCAUUUUGACAGUGGAGUGUACAUGGGGUUUGGAACGUUCAACCCUAUGAUAUCUAUAUUACCUGGACGUAUACUAAAAAUAAUUAAAAUCAUUGAAUUUUCGGGCAGCAAGCCGCGGUCAAUUUGACGUGCAGAACACAGACGACUUCUGCUAGUACUAGUAGCGACCCUGACAUAGAGGAUCUAAUGCUUGAAGUUCCCGCAUUUCAACAAAGAAUAUCUGGUAAAUCGCUACCAAUGGAUAAGUUUAUGAUUAAGCGAGCCAUUCGUUUUGGAGCACAAAACGGAAAUCUUGUGCCCCCGCUUAUAGAAUUAAUGUAUCUGUGGAAUAUAUUAAAAUUGUUUAAAGCGAAGGUGUUUAUCACCUGACAAACAAGACGGACAGACGUACUCUUCGAGUACGGGGUAUAACAAUCAAGCCAUUUACAUGCUACAGGAUACCAAAAAAAAGUUUUCGCAUUAUUCGUUAGAGCCUCGGCUGCACCUGAGGAUACACAUGGCGUUAAUGAAUUUAAAUGAUAAUACAGAAGAGGAAUUUUAAAUUCAGGAUUUUUUGAACUUUUUUUUAUGCCUGGAGUA